rnacentral:tRNA from 1 species
GGAGGGAUGCCUGAGUGGUCGAAAGGGAAGCACUCGAAAUGCUUUGUCUCAUUUAUUUGGGACCGGGGGUUCGAAUCCCUCUCCCUCCG